CCUUUGGAGACCUCCGUGCCAAGUAAACCCAGCAAGCAGGUUGCUGUGUGCCAGGAGCCCACUGCUGUGAGCUGUGUCCAGUACUCAGGAGAUGGACGGUGGUUGGCCUGUGGCUUAGCCAACAGUCUUUCUCUGGUCUUUGAAGCCAGCCUUACUGGAACACCUGCUGCCCUUUCAGGUCAUGAUGGAGCUGUGAGCACCCUCUGCUGGAGCCAUGACCAGAGGUGGCUGCUCUCUGCUGCCCAGGACCAGACUCUGAG